rnacentral:rRNA from 1 species
GUGGAUUAGAUACCCUAGUAGUCCACGCCGUAAACGAUGAAUGCCAGCCGUUCGUGAGUUUACUCACAAGUGGCGCAGUUAACGCUUUAAGCAUUCCGCCUGGGGAGUACGGUCGCAAGAUUAAAACUCAAAGGAAUUGACGGGGGCCCGCACAAGCGGUGGAGCAUGUGGUUUAAUUCGACGCAACGCGCAGAACCUUACCAGCCCUUGACAUGUCUAUGACCGGUACCAGAGAUGGCACCCUCCCUUCGGGGCAUAGAGCACAGGUGCUGCAUGGCUGUCGCCAGCU